rnacentral:rRNA from 1 species
GGGCCCGCACAAGCAGUGGAGUAUGUGGUUUAAUUCGAAGCAACGCGAAGAACCUUACCAGGGCUUGACAUCCCUUGAAGUUGGUAGAGAUAUCAACGUCCUUCGGGACAAGGAGACAGGUGGUGCAUGGUUGUCGUCAGCUCGUGUCGUGAGAUGUUGGGUUAAGUCCCGCAACGAGCGCAACCCUUGUUGUUAGUUGCCAGCAUUUCGGAUGGGCACUCUAGCGAGACUGCCGGUGAUAAAUCGGAGGAAGGUGGGGACGACGUCAAAUCAUCAUGCCCCUUAUGUCCUGGGCUACACACGUACUACAAUGGCUAUUACAGAGGGCAGCAAAGUCGUAAGGCGGAGCGAAUCCUAAAAAAUAGUCUCAGUUCGGAUUGUGGGCUGAAACCCGCCCACAUGAAGUCGGAAUUGCUAGUAAUUGCAGGUCAGCAUACUGCAGUGAAUACGUUCCCGGGCCUU